rnacentral:rRNA from 1 species
CGCGUAGGCGGAUGACACAGUCAGAUGUGAAAUUCCCGGGCUUAACCUGGGGGCUGCAUUUGAUACGUGUUGUCUAGAGUGAGGAAGAGGGUCGUGGAAUUCCCAGUGUAGAGGUGAAAUUCGUAGAUAUUGGGAAGAACACCGGUGGCGAAGGCGGCGACCUGGUCCUUUACUGACGCUGAGGCGCGAAAGCGUGGGGAGCAAACAGGAUUAGAUACCCUGGUAGUCCACGCUGUAAACGAUGUGUGCUGGAUGUUGGGCGACCUAGUCGCUCAGUGUCGUAGCUAACGCGAUAAGCACACCGCCUGGGGAGUACGGCCGCAAGGUUGAA